rfam:Candidatus Yonathbacteria bacterium RIFOXYD1_FTLL_52_36 rifoxyd1_full_scaffold_4249, whole genome shotgun sequence.
AUACUUAAGAGUUUGAUCCUAGCUCAGGAUGAACGCUGGCGGCGUGGAUAAGGCAUGCAAGUCGAGUGGGUUUAGACCCACGGCGAACGAGGUAGUAACACGUAGGAACGUACCCAAAAGUCGGGCAUAACCAGUCGAAAGAUUGGAUAAUUCCCGAUAUCUCUUCGGAGGAAAGAUUUAUCGCUUUUGGAUCGGCCUGCGGAAUAUCAGCUAGUUGGUAGUGUAAUGGACUACCAAGGCUAUGACGUUUAGGGGAGGUGAGAGCCUGACCCCCACCGAUGGUACUGCGACACGGACCAUACACCUACGGGUGGCUGCAGUCGAGAAUCUUCCACAAUGGACGAAAGUCUGAUGGAGCGACGCCGCGUGAUUGAUGAAGUCCUUCGGGAUGUAAAGAUCUUUUAUGAGGGAGAAAGUUAUUGAUAGUACCUCAUGAAUAAGGGGUUGCUAAACUCGUGCCAGCAGCAGCGGUAAUACGAGUGCCCCGAGCGUUAUCCGGAAUCACUGGGCGUAAAGGGUGCGGAAGGCGGCGAUAUUAGUCUUUUGUUAAAGCUCCCGGCUUAACCGGGAAAUCGCGAAAGAAACGGUAUUGCUUGAGAGUGUGAGAGGUAUGCGGAACUCAUGGUGUAGGGGUGAAAUCCGUUGAUAUCAUGGGGAACACCAAAGGCGAAGGCAGCAUACUGGCACAUUUCUGACGCUCAAGCACGAAAGCGUAGGUAGCGAAUGGGAUUAGAUACCCCAGUAGUCUACGCCCUAAACGAUGUUCUCUAGUCUUUUGGAGUAUCGACCCUCUGAGAGGCGUAGCUAACGCGUUAAGAGAACCGCCUGGGAAGUACGAUCGCAAGAUUAAAACUCAAAGGAAUAGACGGGGACUUGCACAAGCGGUGGAUCAGGUGGCUUAAUUCGACGGUAAACGAAGAACCUCACCAGGGUUUGAAACCUAUACGACGUUCUUUUGAAAGAAAGAAUUUCUCACAAGGACGUAUAGGCAGGUGAUGCAUGGCCGUCGUCAGUUCGUGGUUUGAAUUGUUCCCUUCAGUGGGGUAACGAACGCAACCCUCGUUGCCUGUUAUAUUUGUCAGGCGAGACUGCCCAGCCCAGUGAGCACGAAGCAUAAGCUUCGCGAGCAUUGGGCUGGGAGGAAGGCGAGGAUGACGCCAGGUCAGCAUGUCCCUUUGAUACCCUGGGCUGCACACUUGAUACAAUGGUCACGACAACGGGUCGCGACGGGGUAACCCUGAGCCAAUCCUAAUAAACGUGGCCUCAGUUCGGAUUGAGGGCUGAAACUCGACCUCAUGAAGCUGGAAUCGCUAGUAAUCGCGGGUCAGCUAUACCGCGGUGAAUACGUUCUCAAGUCUUGUACUCACCGCCCGUCAACUCAAGGGAGUCGGGAGUACCCGAAGCCCCUGCUUGCAGGGUCUAAGGUAAGCUCGAUGACAGGGAGUAAGUCGUAACAAGGCACGGCUAGCGGAAGCUGGUCGUGGAUCAAUUCCAUG